UUACAAGCUUUGAGAAAGAGGAGUAAAGAUUAUAAGAUAAUCAGAGAUAAGGGUUCUUGGCUGAAAAACCUUUUUUAUCGGAAAUCUUGAAGGUAGCUUUUGAGCUUCUUUACUGAAAUUUAGUAAGUAAAGACGGCAGCCAUGCCGUUAUGUAUAUGAGAGCCCAUGGUAGUGGGAAAAAAGGUGGUACCGCGAGUCUUCGUCCUUUUA
rnacentral:ncRNA from 1 species